rnacentral:sRNA from 1 species
UCACAGUGUUCCUUCCAUGCAGUAUGGUA